UACUCCCGGCCCUCACCCAUUCUCUGAGCCAUUGUGUUGUUCUUCAGCCAUUUUCUCCCCACCUCACGCACAUUUUGUCCCUCAACCACACGCACAUCGUCUAAGUUCUUCAAACGGUACUGGUGUUCGUUGUUAUUAGAUUAGAAGCCAUCGAAAGGUUUUCCACGCUUCCAACCUUGGCUCGUGAAACAGGCAAAGGAAAUGGAGCAGAGGUUAGCAAACACAAGGAGAAUGCCUCUUAACGAUAAGAAAUUCAUAGAAAUUGCUCUCCUUUCUGACCUCUGAGUCGACGGUCGUCGCCCCUCCGACUACUGCAAGCUCACUGUCAAACUGGCCAAGCAAGACAGCUCCGUGGAGGUUCAUUUGGGCCAAACCCACGUUAUGACCUUCGUCACCGCCCAACUCAGUAGUGUUUAUCUCUUAAUCCUCAAGUCCUUUUGUGAAAUAUAGAUGACAUGUUGUUGCUUCUUGGACUUGGGAUGCACAAGAAGAAACAUGUGAGAUUUGUAGGAUGGCCUUUGAUGGAUGUUGUCCUGACUGUAAACUUCCUGGAGACGACUGCCCGCUGAGUAAGCUACUGAUAAUUUUACAUGGCGAUAGCCAUUGUUCUUUUACUUGAAUCCAUUUGUCUUGGUUAAGUUUCUUGAUUGAUCAUUGUGUUUUGGGAAUUUGCCAGUAAAGUAGUAGUAAAGUCAACAACACAUUGAGUAAAUGUUUGUGAUUUUAUUUGUUCUCGUAUUUGAAAUGAAUUUGUGUGGAUAGUGGUCCUAUUGUGUGGAUAGUGGCUCUCCACAUGUAGGACAUUGAAUCACCCUGUCCUCUCUCUCUCUAAAUUUUCUAAUUAUCUCUAAAUUUUAUCACUUGUAGUUCCACAUUUAUAAUGAUAAUAUGUAAGUUCAAAGUCUUUACCAAAAAAUAUAUAAGUUCCAAGUUCUAUAGUUCCCCUGCUUUGAAUGUGUUGUACUGCUGCAAAGAUACUGUCGUUGCUGUCAUAUAUGGUGACUUGUUCUAAACCUUUAACAGGUCAUUGCUGAUAACUUAGUUGCACUUUGCUUUCUAUUUUCACUUGACUGCAGUUGAACAAAUCUAUACUCACAUCACAGGUGAGUAGCAUAUUUAAUUUUGAUUUUGAAAUAUGAUUUCUUUUGAUCAUUUUACUAUGAACCCUCAAUGAAUUUUUUUGGGAAUUGGAAUUUGAAACUUGAAAGUUGGUGUAGACAUCCAAUGCUUAUAUAUUCCCAUAGUACCUUGGAGACUUAAAAGUUACAGUUGCUCUUGUUAUAAAUUUCUUGAAACCAAAAUCUGACAAGGCUUGGAUUCACUAAGCUGCUUAUUUUGUAAACUCACAUAAUUGAGACCAUGUUUUCAUAUGCUUGGACUCAACAAAAUUGAACGGGUACUUCCAGUUGGAACUUCCUUGACUGUUGUUGGUGAGCUCAGAUGAACAUUCAUGGAAGAAAUCCAGAGAUUUGCUUGAGAAGGUUGGUAGACAAGGAGAUCUAACUGGUUAUAGAGUUUCUUGUCUCCUUAUUGGCGCAAAGGAUGAUUUAACUCCAUAUCCAAGGGCAGUACAAGAUUCAGUUAAGCAAAAGAAAGGAACACGACUGUGGAAUGGGGAAACCCCUCAAGUUGUACCGUCACAUGCAAAGAAAUUCUAGUGCUUGGGAAGCCAACAAAUUUUACCAGUGAUAGUGUGGGAACCCGCAAUAUAAAUAUAGCAGUCAGGCACAUAUGAUGGAACUCGAAUGCUGGUGAAAGCAUAAGAAAUUAUGUAGGAGUUUGUCGGAUAACUUCUAUCUUAAAGGUCCUCAACCUCAAACAAGUAUCUAAUUUGCCUACUAUAAAGCACAUAUAUUUUAUUAUUUUGGUAUUGGUAAAAGAUUCAUCGUGUCCUUAAAAUAAAACUUUUGAAUUCAAAUGAGAUCUAA